ensembl:lincRNA Gm36546 predicted gene, 36546
GUCACCAGGAACCUGGUGUCCCAGCCCGACUUUAGACCCAAGCAUUUUGUCUUAAAGCGUUUGCCAAGACCGCUUCCUAAGUCACCACCCGGCUUCCUGGUCCUGUGAGAAAGUGAAAGAGAACAGCCAAAUAGAGUGGAAACGCUACUUCCUUAAGAACAGGAGAUUUGCUGUUUAUGUACUUGAAAUGAAAAGCAUUCCUACGGUGGAUCAUUCUCCAGUUUCAGACA